AGAGAGAGAGAGACACCCGGGGACAGGGUGUGGGUGUACUGCCGCGUUUUCCUGUUUACGGAAACCACACGUUUCCCUUUCACUAGCGAGACUGAAUACAGUAACCCUCCACUGCAACCAGGUCUGGUCAUUGCAACGCCCUAACCCAUUCUCCACGGUGAUUUGAUAAGUCCUAUCGCUCUCCAGACUGACUGACUGACUGACUGACUCCUAGCCCCCCCCUCCCCCACCCCAAGACAGACCCAGAGAAGAUCUGCAGGGUUAAGGACUGGGAGAGGCCCACGAAUCGGAAGGAAGUGCUGCAGUUCUUGGGGUUCGCUGGAUAUUGCAGGCGGUACGUUGAAGGCUACUCAAGCAUAGCUGCUCCUUUAUACCGCCUCACAUCCGGUGAUCCCAGAAAGAAAAUAAGGGGAAAGAAGAGAUUGGGUCCCGAACCACCCUUUUUUGCCAUUCGUCAGAAACCAACUUGGGCGGGUUGAAACUGGCUUUGAAUGCAGAUGUUUUUAUCUGUCAUUACCUGUUUUACCAAAGACAGGACACACAGGUCAAAGACAGGACACACAGGUCAAAGACAGGACACACAUUGACUUCAGGCUGGAGUCGUUAUGUCCAGCAAAGUAAAUUAUUUCUGAUAAAGCAGUUAUGGGGUUAAUCUGCUGCAUCCAAGAUGAUAAAAUCUCCAACAAAGUAAAUAAUGGAGUGAGAGAAUGAGGGGCCACUGACUGGGUAUCCAAGUGGAGGUUGCUGUCGACUUUCUCAGGGAAACGACUUUGACAUCUCUACCAUGGCCGUGGACAGUGGUAAGACCGUAACCGUAGUGCUGGCAGCACUGGGCCGGCCCUUCCGUCUGGGGAUGCUCUACGACUGUCGCAAUGACUCACUGAUCCCCGGUAAAUAAAUACAAGUCCCGAGACAAUAUCCCUUAUUUGUGUUAUUUUAAGGAGAAUCUUUGGGGGUUUUGCGUGAAAUCGAUGGAUCUGGCCAAAUGUCAUUAUGAAUGUCAUUAUCAGUUGGGCGCUGCAUGCAGCGCUCAACUAUUGUUGUUCUUAAGGUUACCAUGA